GCCUUGGUAGCUCAAUUGGCUAGAGCGUGGGACUUUUACAAUUCUAAAGACUGAUCGAUGAGGUCAAUCUGGAAUCUUCGAAAUCCCAAGGUUGCGGGUUCGACCCCCGCCUGAGGCG